AAAUGAAGAACUGAAACAUUAUUAGGAUUUUUAUCAAGCACAACGUGGGAAUGAAUAUUCUAAGAAGCAUGGAUAGAUGUAGCUCUGAGGCCUCUGUCAGUGUCAUAGGUGGAUGAAGCAAAAGCAAAGGAAAGGAAAGCCCAUACGGGAAAGAAAACGGUUCCGAAGACAUACUUUAUGCUCUAAACGAGAGAGAGACAGACCAUGAGCGGUGGAGGGGCAGACAGAGAGGGGAGGCACAGAAUCCGAAGCAGGCGCCAGGCUCCGAGCUGUCAG